AAGACCUUGCGCUUUUGGAGCGGCCGAUGUCUGAUUAGCUAGUUGGUGGGGUAAUGGCCUACCAAAGCUUCGAUCAGUAGCUGGUCUGAGAGGACGGCCAGCCACACUGGGACUGAGACACGGCCCAGACUCCUACGGGAGGCAGCAGUGGGGAAUUUUGGACAAUGGGCGCAAGCCUGAUCCAGCCAUGCCGCGUGAGUGAAGAAGGCCUUCGGGUUGUAAAGCUCUUUCAGCCGGGAAGAAAAGGUUGCGAUUAAUAAUCGCAAUUGAUGACGGUACCGGAAGAAGAAGCACCGGCUAACUACGUGCCAGCAGCCGCGGUAAUACGUAGGGUGCGAGCGUUAAUCGGAAUUACUGGGCGUAAAGGGUGCGCAMGCGGUUUUGUAAGUCAGAUGUGAAAUCCCCGGGCUUAACCUGGGAACU
rnacentral:rRNA from 1 species